rnacentral:ncRNA from 1 species
CCAUCAGCGGGAGGCGAUGACACGCGAUCCAUGCCGUGGUCGCCGGGACCGCGCCGAGCCAUUGGCGAGACCGACCCGCGUAUCG